UUAUUUUUAUGCCCCACCUACGAUAGUAGAGGGGCAUUAUGUUUUCUGGUCUGUGCGUCCGUUCGUUCGUCCGUCCAUCCGUUCGUUCGUUCGUUCGUCCGUCUGUCCCGCUUCAGGUUAAAGUUUUUGGUCGAGGUAGUUUUUGAUGAAGUUGAAGUCCAAUCGACUUCAAACUUGGUACACAUGUUCCCUAUGAUAUGAUCUUUCUAAUUUUAAUGCCAAAUUAGAGAUUUUACCCCAAUUUCACGGUCCACUGAACAUAGAAAAUGAUAGUGCGAGUGGGGCAUUCGUGUACUGAGGACACAUUCUUGUUUUGUUUUU
rnacentral:lncRNA from 1 species